UACGUAGGAUGCAAGCGUUGUCCGGAAUUACUGGGCGUAAAGGGCGCGCAGGUGGCACUACAAGUCUGACGUAAAAUCUCCCGGCUUAACUGGGAGGGGCCAUUGGAAACUGUAGAGCUGGAGUGCAGGAGAGGCUAACGGAAUUCCCGGUGUAGUGGUGAAAUGCGUAGAUAUCGGGAGGAACACCAGUGGCGAAGGCGGUUAGCUGGCCUGUAACUGACACUGAGGCGCGAAGGCUAGGGGAGCGAACAGG
rnacentral:rRNA from 1 species